GAUGAACGCUGGCGGCGUGCUUAACACAUGCAAGUCGAACGGGAUCCCAGGAGCUUGCUCCUGGGUGAGAGUGGCGAACGGGUGAGUAAUGCGUGACCGACCUGCCCCAUACACCGGAAUAGCUCCUGGAAACGGGUGGUAAUGCCGGAUGCUCCGACAUGACGCAUGUCGUGUCGGGAAAGAUUCAUCGGUAUGGGAUGGGGUCGCGUCCUAUCAGCUUGAUGGCGGGGUAACGGCCCACCAUGGCUU
rnacentral:rRNA from 1 species